GCAUAACCUUUAAUUAAUAUUUCAUCUACAGCCAGGGUGCGUAACUUGAAUAGGGCCUAAAAAUAUUGCUGUCCCUCUGCUUUGAGAUCAUUAACUGUGAGACACGGAGCCAGUGUGGGUUAUCCGAUUGUUUGCAAUUAUUUCUAAAAUUAAAAAUCUUUAACCCGUUCACCCAUAACAAAAUGGCGGGCUUGGGGGUAAAGGCUUAAAGAACUGCAACUCACCGAGGGGGGUGAAGGCGCAAAUUCCAAACAUCAUUCAUUUCAGCCCCCCGCGUGGGGUGCGGGGAGCCAUGUCACCUGUCUGUGGAGUGACUGCGGGGACGCUUGGUGGGCCAGCUGAUCCCACUGGGCUCCUGAGGUCAUCUGUUUGCUGUGCUGGAUGACCACAGAACACAGAUCACCGGGUUGCAGCGGCGCAGCGUGGUCUUUGAUGUUUUCUGGGGCAGGACUCUUGAGACUUUGAGUGCCUCUGGGGAGAGGGCCAAGGAAUGUCGCCCUGCAUGACUUUGGAGCCUGGAGGGACAGAUGCUCUUUUGGGAGCAGGAAGGAGGACAGGAUACCAUCUGACUACGCUGACAACCCUCUGGGACCCGAGGUGGGCUGCGCUCACAUCCGUGACGACAGGCAUCUCCCGAGUCCUUUGCAGGAGCCGCGCUGCCCCUGCUGUGUCUCAUGCAUCCUCCCAGACAACCCGCCAUCUUCAUUUCACAGACAGGAGACUGGCGCUUUGGCUAAAAACAACGAAUUGCCAGGUCACGUGGUGGUGCACGAGCUGGGACAGGAAUUCGGUCCCCUGGCUCUGUGCCCAGGACUGUGAGAUCCCUGGUAUGUGUGGAUGGCCAGCUCUCGGGGACGGCUCUCUGGGCAGGUGAUGCGAGGCUCACCCUUUCCAAACCUCCUUUGAGUCCCCAGGAGUCGUCAGCUCUAACCUGGGUGAGGAGUCGUGACCUCUCACCUGGGAAGCGUCACCCCAAGGGGCAGAACAUUGAACUUGAUAAACAAUUGGGACUGCUUGAAAUUUUCCUGCUCACUGGCCCUUGGUGUUGCUGGGUUUCUCUCUUUUGGGGCGUGCUGACUUCUCCUUAAACAUUUUUAAAAACUC
rnacentral:lncRNA from 1 species